rnacentral:lncRNA from 1 species
UAGAAACAUCUCACGUAUUUUCCCUUUGCCUCUCAUCUUCUCCUCUCACUCUCAUGUUUCUUUCUCUCUUUGCUCACAAAGCCAACACUUCUUUCUUCUUCAAAGACACUCAAUCAAAACAACAACACAACUCCUUCCGAUUUAAACCAACUCUCUUCUCUCAUACCAAGCAAACACAUAACAACAAAAACAUAGAUGCAAAUGGAACAACAAAGAACGAAAAGAAACUCACAUGGUCGCCGGCGGUAUCGUGGUGUCGCAGCGAUGGUUACGGUUUCACGUGGUAAGUAUGGGAACAGCCGGAUCUAGUGGUGUUGUUUCCGUCAGUUUGCGUGGUAGUGACGGACAAGCACGACAAUGUUUGCUGAGUCUGUGUUUCCAGCACGGUGUUGUUUGUGAUGGUCAGAUGCUUUGGAUUCACGGUGGUUCCGACUCUGAUUCUGGAGGCGGUUCGAAUUCGUUCUUCUCUUUUGUGUUAUUGUUAUUUUGUUUUUGAAUUGGCUUGUGUGUAUCGUAUUGUUGGAGUAGUUUUGGUUCUAUUAACAAGUUUUUGAUGGUUGUGUUUGAGUUGUUGCUGUGUAGUGAAGAUGGAGGUGUGUGUAGGUUGAUUAUGGAGGAAAGUUUAAGGGAUGGUUUAAUGGUAUGUUGGAAAGUUAAUCUUGGUUUUGCUGUUGUUUGAUAGUUAUUCUUGAGAUGGAAGCAAGAUGAUGAUGAUAUGAAAUUGUUAUUGGUGCAUUUUUUUUUUGUGUGGAUUUCUUCUCUAUAUCAGUGUUCACAGAUUGUGUUUUUAUUGUGUUACACUCAAUGUUCAAGGCUUAUUGUUUUUCUCAAUUCCCUUCUCACGGUUUUCUUUUCUGUUUAUGAACGUGUUAUGCUAUGGUGCUUGUUGUUAAUUUGGUUUGGUUAAUGUUUUUUUAUUUGGUUUGGAUAUACACGAUUUCAGUGAAUGAGGAAGGUUUUAUGAUGCAAUAAAGAUCAUGGCGUUGGUUUGAAUGGAGGGCGGUUGGUGAGAGAUUGAACUUUGGAUGAUGGUGGUGAUAAGUGAAGUGUAGGUUGGGUGAUGAAGGGUAGAAAUGAUGAGUGAAUUUUAUAAAGAUUUUUAUUGAAAGGGGUGAUGGGGAAUGUUUUUUUAGUAUGUUUUUUUAGUAUGUUUUUUUGGUGCAUUCAACGUGUAAGUGAGGGUGAUAUUGUCUGAUGCGUAGAGAGGUUCAUAUUAAUUUGUGAUAAGUGUAUUUUGUGUAAGAAUGGG